GAUUUUUCAGCUUUCUAGCUUGCGGCUCCCGGCUGUGUGAGCUUUAUGAAGCUGCGGAGGGAUGGUCAACUGCGUGGGUGGCAACGAGUCAGCUAGAGGAGGAUACCUUUAGCGCUGGAAAGGGACAGUAGGGCCGGACAUUACCACAUUACCUUGACAGAACCUUUGCAACUAUGGUGUGAUCCUUCUCCUUCACAACAGGGAUUUAAUCCAGGUUGCUGCUUGACAAGUAAAGAUUCGUACUUAAAUAUGUUUUCAGGACGACUCGGUGAGACUUCAAUGUGCAUACAUUCAGG
rnacentral:lncRNA from 1 species